rnacentral:rRNA from 1 species
CAGCCGCCGCGGUAAUACGGGGGAUGCAAGCGUUAUCCGGAAUGAUUGGGCGUAAAGAGUCCGUAGGUAGUCAUCCAAGUCUGCUGUUAAAGAGCGAGGCUUAACCUCGUAAAGGCAGUGGAAACUGGAAGACUAGAGUGUAGUAGGGGCAGAGGGAAUUCCUGGUGUAGCGGUGAAAUGCGUAGAGAUCAGGAAGAACACCGGUGGCGAAGGCGCUCUGCUGGGCUAUAACUGACACUGAGGGACGAAAGCUAGGGGAGCGAAUGGGAUUAGAUACCCCAGUAGUCCUAGCGGUAAACGAUGGAAACUAGGUGUGGCCUGUAUCGACCCGGGCCGUGCCGAAGCAAACGCGUUAAGUUUCCCGCCUGGGGAGUACGCACGCAAGUGUGAAACUCAAAGGAAUUGGCGGGGGAGCAC